UGGGGAAUCUUCCGCAAUGGACGAAAGUCUGACGGAGCAACGCCGCGUGAGUGAAGACGGCCUUCGGGUUGUAAAGCUCUGUGAUCCGGGACGAAAGAGCCUGAGGUAAAUAGCCUAAGGAAGUGACGGUACCGGAAAAGCAAGCCACGGCUAACUACGUGCCAGCAGCCGCGGUAAUACGUAGGUGGCAAGCGUUGUCCGGAAUUAUUGGGCGUAAAGCGCGCGCAGGCGGCUUACUAAGUCCAUCUUAAAAGUGCGGGGCUUAACCCCGUGAUGGGAUGGAAACUGGAAAGCUGGAGUAUCGGAGAGGAAAGUGGAAUUCCUAGUGUAGCGGUGAAAGGCGUAGAGAUUAGGAAGAACACCGGUGGCGAAGGCGACUUUCUGGACGAAAACUGACGCUGAGGCGCGAAAGCGUGGGGAGCAAACAGG
rnacentral:rRNA from 1 species